rnacentral:misc_RNA from 1 species
CGAAAUGACUUUAUGUGUUAUAAUGUCUUCGGUUCAUCCCGUGUGAUCUGUGGUCGGGAUCGGGUCUUGUGCAAUUCGAUCCCGUGAACCCUGUCAGGUCCGGAAGGAAGCAGCAGUAAGCGGACCUUCGUUUGUGCCGCAAGGGUGCCUGCCCGACUGCAGUUUAGACGGGAUGAAC